GAAUGGGCAUCGUGUCUUUGGCGUUCUUGCAAUGUCGAGGUCAAUCGGUAUGUGUUCCAUACCAUUAUCCUUGUUUUCUUAUGUUCAAGUUUAACCACAGCAUCAUCAACUUCUGUCACCAGGAUUCUUUUAUUUGUAAGUUAUUGUCAUGUUCUUGAUGCCUAAUCUGAAAGUUCUAAAUGCAGAAAGAGUACAUUCAAUUUGCAUGGACUUUACUUGAGGUGUUGUCUGAUGACCAUUGUGUCAUAGGCUCGUAGCUGUCUAUUCUCCUUACCAUUGUUUUAACAUGUGAUGUGAUGAGAAAACAAUUCUGUUUUCCACUUGCUGCCCAUGAGAUGAUUGUACAUUGUCUGUCAUCAUAAAUUUUAAAAUUUGGUUUUAGGUAAGGGAUUAGGACCUCCAGAAAUGUACCUGAGCCUUAAAAGAUUCUUUCUUUGACUGUCAUCAAAGACGAGUUAACAGAAAAAUCCCGAGUAUACACUGUAAAGAUAAGUAAUGCUACCAUCAAUGUUUGCUUAUAAAACCUUGCAUUUUGCAAUGUGGGAAAAAGUAUAUUUCUUUUCUUAUAGUUCGAUGAUGGUUUGUUUGAUAUUGAGAGUUGAGAUGCUUACAUGCCAACCUGCGUGAGCAAUGAAUUCAAUAUAUCAACAACAACAACAGUUAAGUCACAAUCCCAAACUAGGUGAGGUUAACUAUAUAGAUCUUUUUUCACCGUUCAUUGUUCACUAAAUGAAUUCAAUAUAUCAAUUGGAUUAAAUUCAUUUUGACCUGCUCCAACCCAAAAAUGAUCAGUUGAUGGGGACAUUCCUUUCUUCUCAUCAAGUGCUAUAGAAGUGAUUGUUCUGACAUUCCUUUCUUUUCAAACAAUUCAUGCAAGGGACAUGUUAUUUGUGUUUUGGAUUUUUGAAAACCAUUUACUUUGUGACGUGUGUGUCUGUAUUUGACGAAUAUAUACAAAAGACAAUCGGCUGAGCUUCAUUAUGCUGGUAACAUAUUUUUGUAGCUUUCUCAUCUGAAUAUAUCAGUGCAUUUGUUCACAAUGUUUUGUCAGUUUGUGGAAUAGUCCUGACUCUGCAUGUAAAUUUGUUGGGAUUCGAUUAUGAUUAAUGAAGUGGAUCAUAUAGUUAAAACUUUAAAAAUACACCUUACCCGAAUGCAGGUGAUAGAUAUUUGAAACCAUGUAUUAUUCCAGAACCAGAAGUUAUGUUUGUUCCUCGGGCAAAAGACGAUGAAUGCCUGAUUCUGGCUAGUGAUGGUCUAUGGGAUGUCAUGUCAAAUGAAGAGGCGUGCGAUCUAGCUCGGAGACGAAUUCUUGUCUGGCAUAAAAGGAAUGGUGCUGCAGUUCCCUCCUCAAGGGGUGAGGGAAUUGAUCCUGC
rnacentral:misc_RNA from 1 species